rnacentral:lncRNA from 10 species
AAAGGAUUUUGGUUACGAAUUCAAAAUAAUUCAGUAAAAUCUGAAGUCUAAAACAAAAACAACAAAAAUAUCUUGUUGGCAAAAAGCCUGUGUUUUUGAAAAAGAAAAUCUCCUAAAAGUGAUGCCCCCUCCUCUCCAACUUUUUAUAACAGAUUUUCUACCCUAGACUUGGAGCAACUUAGAAUCAUGAAUUGUGAAAAUGGAUUAUGCAUAAAGGUGCCAGCCUCCGAGAGCUGUUCCUGUUGUUAAACAUCAUUAAAUUCAUUGAUUGAAUCCAUGCAAUUAAAAAAACAAAACAAAACAAAGCUGCCACACAGCCAAGGCCCUAACUACAACAGCAAGGAGUGUCUUUGAGAAACUGAAAUUAAAGACUGAAAAUUUGCACUUUUAAAAUGUGGAUUCACUUACAUUCUUUAUGUUUCUUUUGGCAGGCACUGUAGUUGGCAGUCGCACAACUGCUAUGCCCUUACAGUUGGUGUUAUUUGCUUAAAAAAAAGUAUAUGUCAAAUAGAAGGCUGGCAAAAAUAAUAAAUAAAAAAGAUAAAAAUUGGAAUGGAUUGUUUUGAAGAACCUCUCUAUCUCACCACUUUAAUUCAUUCAACUCUCUAAUCAUCCAUACAUCAGUUGACUAAGAAAAUAUUUUGAGAACCCACUAUGGACAAAGAAUGUAUCACUAAUAAGGCAAAAAGUAAAUAUUCUCCCAUUAUACAAAUUCAUUUUUACUGAGAUAUAUUUCACAUACUAUAAAAUUUGCUUUUAAGUGUACAAUUCAGUGGUUUUUAGUAUUUUUACAAAGUUAUGCAAUUAUUUAAUUCCACUACCAUUACCUGAUUCCAGAACAUUUUCAUUACCUCAACAGAAACCAUGUGUCCAUUUGUAGUCAUUCACCAUGAUUUCCUCUUCCUAGACACUGGCAACCACAAAUUUACUUUCUGUCUCUAUUGACUUGCCUACUUAGACUUUUUGUGUAAAUGGAUUAAUGUACCAUAUGGCUAUGUCUUUUACGGUUACUUUCAUUGAGUACAUUGUUUUUAAGGUUUAUCCAUGUUGUGGCAUGAAUCAAUGCUUUAUUCUUUUUUAACGCUGAAUGAUAGUUCUCUGCAUGAAUACACACGUUUUCUUUAUGUAUUAAUGAGAUGGUGGGCCUUGGCUUGUUUCCAUUUUGGGGCUAUUAGGAAUAAUGCUGCUAUGAACAUUACUGUACAGGUUUUUGGACAUUUAAAAAGAUUUUAUUGGGCAUAUGCCUAGGAGCGGAAUUGAUGGGUCUUAUAGUAACCCUACAUUUAACCUUUUGAGGAACUACCUAACUGUUUUACCAGGUGGCUGUAAUAUGUUACAUUCCCAGCAGAAAUGUAUCAGGGUUCCAUUUCUCUACCUCCUUGCCAGUAUUUUUUUUACUUGUCUUUAGGAUUAAAGCCCUCAUAGUAUGUGCAAAGUGGUAUUUCAAUGUGAGUUAAUUUUCUUAGCAUUUUCAAAGUAGGUGAUAUUUUGGUAGAUAUGAAAAUAGAAGCAUAGAGACAGAGUAAUGCAAAUAAAUAAUAGAAAGUAGGGGGGUGUGUGUGUG